rnacentral:sRNA from 1 species
AUGCAAAAAAAUCCCGAUUUUGAAUUUUUGAGGAGAGCUAGGGUUAGGGUUGGGUUUGGGUUCAAAAAUGAGCAAAUAUCAGAAACACAGCGAGAGAGAGAGAGAGAGAAGGAGAUGGGAUGGGAGCCGUGUUUAUUUUGUUUGGAGAGCCGAUUGAGAAAAGUGGCUCUCGCUUGCUUGGUUUAGUGGGACCCGAGAUCAAUGAGUUCUCUUCUCCUCAUAUAGUAGAGUUUUUUUUUUUUUUUUUUAAGGGGGAUUGGGUGGGUGAGUGGACAGUCAAAAGGCUCCAAAUGCAUGCAAUGUCAAGACAGUGGUUCUAGCCAAUGAAGAAUGGAUUUAUGUACAUGUGUAAUAUCUAGGACGGUGGAUUUUCUGUGAGGGAUUAAAAAAUGUGUAGUCCAUGCUCGUGUGAAAGGAUGAGAUUGAUGCACUCGAGGUGAAACUUCCAUGAUGUAUGAGAACAAAAUUGGUUUUAGAAAAUAAAUAAAUAAAUGAGUUCUCUUCUCCUCAUAUAGUAGAGUUUUUUUUUUUUUUUUUUUUGGGGGUUUGGGUGGGUGAGUGGACAGUCAAAAGGCUCCAAAUGCAUGCAAUGUCAAGACAGUGGUUCUAGCCAAUGAAGAAUGGAUUUAUGUACAUGUGUAAUAUCUAGGACGGUGGAUUUUCUGUGAGGGAUUAAAAAAUGUGUAGUCCAUGCUCGUGUGAAAGGAUGAGAUUGAUGCACUCGAGGUGAAACUUCCAUGAUGUAUGAGAACAAAAUUGGUUUUAGAAAAUAAAUAAAUAGAUGGUUAAAGAGGGCGGACAUAAACCUUGAAUGUAUCGAUCGGAAACAUUUAACAUAACUAAUUAAGUUACAAGAAUAUUAGUAAUUUUUUUUAGUGAUGCUAUAGCUACGAGUUUAAUUAUAUAGAUGUUAGAAUAUAUCGUCUUCUAAAGCGCAAAAGAAAAAAGUAUUUUAUGUUGUUGAUGUGUUGCCAAAUAUACUCAGUGCCAUAUUAAUUUGUAAACCCUUUAGAGUAAGCUUUGUUGCUUCAGUAUAUUUCCUUUUUUUUUUCCAUAAAUGCUAAAGUGCUUGUUACAAUGAUGAUGAUGGUGUCAAUGAUGAGCAUCAUAAUUUGUUACCUUAACAAGUAAUAAUAUUACACAAAUAAUAACGGGACUUGUGAAUCUUUUUUUUUUACUCCCUCUAGGGCUUUCUUUAUCAACGCAUUCAUCCUAUUAAUGGCAUUUUAAUCGCUAACUCAUGGAAUUACCUUGUUUUGAUUUGUUAAGGGGCUCAAGUAUAUGUUCAUUGCAAGUAUUUUAUGGAUAAGUUGAUUGCCAAGAGUAGAGGAACAGUCCAAACUUAUGUUGCUUGGUCCAAUUCUAUUAACAAAAUCCUUUUUCUCAUUUGAUAGUUAGAGAGAUCUUAAUGACAGUUGUAAAAACUUUUAAUAAGGUAAAUAUGUCAGUUGUGGAUAAUAAUGUUUUUAUGUUCUCCUUCAAACACGUAGCGGACAUUAGAAGGAUUUGAGACUAUUGUCAUUGGUCCUGUAAAGGGGAACAUUUAAUUCUCAAGAAGUAUGAGGUUUAUUGGAGCUUUAACAGUCCAAACUUAUGUUGCUUGGUACAAUUUAGUUAACAAAAUCAUUUUUCUCGUUUGAUAAUUAAAGAGAUCAUAACAGUAAUUGUGAAAAUUUUUAAUAAAGUAAAUAUGUCUGUUGUGGAUAAUGAUGUUUUUGUGUUCUCCUUUAUACACAUAGUGGACAUUAGAAGUGUUUGUGACUGUUGUCGUUGGUCCUUUAGGGGGGACAUUUAAUUCUGAAGAAGUGUGAGCUUGAUUGGAGCUUUAACGGUCCAAACUUAUGUUGCUUGGUACAAUUCAGUUAACAAAAUCUUUUUUUCUUGUUUGAUAGUUCGAGAGAUCAUAAUGUCAAUUGCAAAAACUUUUAAUAAGGUAAAUAUGUAAGUUGUGGAUAAUAAUGUUUUUAUAUUCUCCUUCAAACACGUAGUAGAUGUUAGAAGGGUUUGGGAUUGUCGCCACCGGUCCUUUUAAGGAGGAGCAUUUAAUUCUCAAGAAUUAUGAGUUUGAUUGGAGUUUUAAUGGUAUCCUAUGUUUGGGUAAAAGUUCAUAGACUCUCUCCCUCUCAACUAAAAAUCUUAAUCAAAUAAUGUUAAUUGUCAUUUAAUUAUGGAAUUCCCUUUGGAAAUAGCUCAUUGAUAUACAACCACAACCCAUUAGAGAUAGAUAAAGAGCAAACAUGGAACUGAGAAUAUUUGGAAUGUAUAUUAAGGGUUCGUUCGGGAAUAACUUUUUUAGCUGAAAUUGAAAAUUUUUUACUGAAAAAGUGCUAUAGAAAAAAAGUUAAAAGUUAGUUGAACACUAUAAUAAGACCCAAAAUAGUACAAAAAAGUGCAAUGAGAUUCAUAACUAGUAACAAAAAGAAGCUAAAAACUUAACUAAGCUAAAACUUGCAUUACAUCCCCAACAUGCUCUAAGCUUGGAAUGGAAAAACUAGAUUAGGGGUGGGGGGUUCUAAUUAUGUGAGGAGGUUGGUCGACCCUUUUUUAAUAGAUUUCAAAACCCGUUAUCAAGCAUUGUUGUCAAUGUAGUUUUAGGCUUUUAACUACUAAUCACCAUCACUAAUCUUGUGAGAAGCCAUCAUUUUUCAAGUGGAUGGGCUCGGUAAAGUAGGCUCUGAUUGGCAACGAUUACUAGGUAGCCUUAUGCACGUUCCACUAUGAUAUGUUUCGUUUUUAUCCCUAACCCACCUAGACACAGUGCCAUUUUUUAUUUUUAAAUAUACUUGUCAUUCAAAAUGACAUCAUUUUUAGGUGAGUUAAUAACAAUAUUAUCAUGCAUGUUGACAGAAAAGGUAGACAUUGUCAUUGUCGUAAAUAAUACUCUAAGAGUGUAAAUUACAAGUUUUCCUAAUUAAGGGAUUGAUUUAAAGGUGACCCUAAAGUUAGAGGGUGUAAAUAAUAUUUUAGCUUAAAAAAUAUGAGUUUUUAUUCAAGCAUUUAAGUUGAUUAUUCAAUAAAUAAUUAUAAUUUAUACAUCCAAGCAUCAUAUUCCAGUUGCAUCAAAAGAUUCAAAACUAAAUCCCAAAAUAUCAAAAUAAAUCAAACUAAUAAAUAUAAACCAAGUUCAAAAAUUCAAAAUAAAUCAAAUUGAUAAAUUUAAAAUACAUAUAAUUUUUUUUACUAAAAAUAUUACAUAUAAUUAAUUUUUUUUUUAAACAGAGUCACUAACUCACUCGAUCCAACCCAAUAAAAAGCUUAAUUAAAGAAAAAUAAAAAUCUAAUACAACCCAUUAACCCCAAAAAAAAAAAAAAAAAAAAAAACCCAAGAUAUUUGGUUGGGUUGGGUCGAAUGGAUUAGCGGGUUGAAAGUACAUUCUUUUCUUGCAGUUGUGAGUCACUGAAACUUUCUUAAGUCGACAAAAUUCGUCCCUACAACAUGUACAAUUACUUUAAAUGGCGUAGACAGAUUUUUUAAUUAUAAAAAAUGGGAUAUCAAAACGACGAGUCGUUUAAUAUAACAAGACAAUGACCGAGGAAAGCACUUUUUAGAUUUUUGGUGAUGGUGAAUGUGAGGUCCUCCAUGACCUUGUGUUCCAUGUCCACUGUCCCAUACAACACAACAGUGUGUGUGCCUGUGAGAGACAGAGAGAGAGAACAUGGCAUCUUCUUCUCAGCUCUCAGCUCUCCCUCAACGUUUUGCUUUGGCUUCCACGGACCACUGUGAGUUCCCUUUCUCUAACUCUCUCUAUCUCACACACACACACUCAUUUACAUGUACCCAAUAAAGAAUUUGAGCUUAUUGAGAAGUUUCAGUUAGCUGCAUGAACUUGUUGGAAUUGCUUUAAACUAAACUUUCAAGUUCACUUGAGCUUUGGAACAUGUUGUCUGAAUUUCCAGUUUGGUUCAUGAAAAUAAGUAUAAUGACAGUAUUAAUAUUUACAUGUUUCUUGAAUUUUCAAAAGCUUUAAAAAAAAAUUGUGGGUGAAUCUUCCAAAAGGGUCCAAAUUUGUUUUCCAUGUCAGUUGGGCUGCUUUAUUUGAGUAUGAAAUUGCAUUUUCAACUAGAUAUAUAAAUGGGUUGCUUUUCCUCUUGUACAAAUUCGUUGUCAAUGCAGAAGUGAUUCCGUUGUUUGGAAUUGUAGAAUCAGAAUUGAAAUAUCAUCAUGUUGUGAAAUUUCAAGUUAUGAUGAUUGAUAAAUUACCUUUUGUCUCAAAAGCUUAGGUUGUAAGGAAAUGAUGAAUUUAACCACUUAACCACUACUCUAACACUCCCCCUCAUGUGAAUCCAGACUCUUCCUUAAUAAGUGAGACCCAACGCGUAGAAUUUUUAACUUUUUUAAAUUGGAGAUAGAGUAGAGACAUGGUUCGAAUUCAAGACUAGCUACUCUGAUACUGUGAUAAAUUACUAUUUGUUCCCCAAGCUUAAGAUGUUCGGAAAUGAUGAAUUUAAUCUCUUAACCAUUAUUCUAACAAUGAUUAAUUAAAAAAAUGAAUUUUAUUUGUUUUUAUUUUUAUUUUUAUGGAUAUUCAAAUGGGUUUCCAAACUCAUGGUGAUGCAGUCAUUGUUCUGAUUUUGGUUUGUUGUUUUGCUUGUAUUGCUCUGAAGAUUAGAAUAUGCUAAGCUGUAUAUUGUUGGAAGGGCAGUGAUUUUAACCAGCAUUCGUUUCUAUCAAAUCACAGUAAAUUUCAAGUCAGUCAGGAUUCGUGUGAGAUCUAGUUUGGAACGUGAGAACCAAAAUCCAGGAGAUUCAGACAACUCAUCAAAACCAUCAAAGGUAAAAGUUUCGAUUUUUAUCAACAUCUAAUGUCUCGCAUGAUCACCAUUUCCUAAAAGCAAAAUUUCUAAGAGGGAAGACAUGGCUUGCUGGAAAGCAAGGGGAGAAGUGGUACUGAUCAUCAAAUGCUUUCAUCUGUGGAAAUGUACUAUUUGUUGCUCAUUCUGUAAUGAGUCCCAACGCAUUUAUGUGCCAUGUAUGAAUACCAUUUAGUAGAAUGUGAUGUGAUGGAUGGGGUUGCUAGUAUUUCUCCAAGUGGGAAGCUGCUAUCUUUGUUGGGGCACAUUCAAUUUGUUGUUCAUGUUGCCAAUGGUGUAGUAGAAAAGGGAAAUUUAUCCAUUGCCUUAUAAAACUAUCUACUAGAUGAUUUGUCAUUAUGCUGUGGAUGGGCUUCCAUGUUCUUAAUAUAUAACUUCCAUCAAUGGCGCUCACUUUAGUCAUUUGAUGGCCACAGUACUAAAAAUUUAUAAAUUUUGCCAGUGCAAAGUUUGUUUUGCUGUAAACACCGGUCUGCUGAAUAUCUUAAAUGACAUAUAAAGCGCUUUAAAAUCUCAUAGAAAAGACUUAACUUAACAAAGUGAGGAUUUUUUUUAAGAAAUUUUUUUAAACUGCAGGGAUCUCAAUCAUCGAUCUCUCGGCGUUGUUGUCUCACAUGUUUGUGCUCAACUUUAUCUUUGAUAAACAAUUCUGGUACCCCUAUUUCCAUACAAAAUGCAACUGCUUUGGAAGGGAAUGAAAGACCAGGAUGCCGGAACUGUGGGGGCAGUGGUGCUGUACUUUGUAAGUGUGAAAUUCCCUAUGUUUUUUUUUGUUUUAUUUAUUUCCUCAUCAGAAUAAUAAUCUGAAUGUUUGUACAGUGUACAUAUCUUGCAAUAUAUGUAAAACUUGUUGAGAAUGUGAAAUUAUAUGAACCCUUGAGAAUUUUAGAGUUGCCAGAUCUGUUGCUUUUGUAUGAAUAUAAACUGUGAGAAGCUUAAACAUGGGUGGGAAGACUGAUACCUAGAUCAUGGAUCUUGUUUACCUUGUAUCUGUUAUUGCUGUUGUCUCCUCCUUCCUCUCUNCCCCCCCCCCCCCCCCCCCCGGCGCGCGGCCGUCCCUACCCAACCCCUCCCUUAAAAAAUGUUAGUGGAUGAGUAGAGUGAAUAUGAAUUUUUUCUGUUACCACAAUUCCUUACUGUUACAAGGUCUAUUGAAGUUUAUUGAUCUGUUAAAAGUCCUCGUGUUCCAAGAAUUUGGCAUAGUUAUGGAGAUUUUAUCAUGGUCUCAAUGGAAAAGUUUUUCAUCUCUCUCACCUUUUAAUCUAUUUUUAUGUUUUAAUCAUUGAAUCUUCUAUGAAAACAUCACUAUUUAUUAAAUUCUGUCACAAGUGGUACCCCACUCUUGUCUAUAAGAAAUUCAGUUCAUAAGAUAUUCAUUUGCUUUUUAUUUAGGUGAUAUGUGUGGUGGUACAGGAAAAUGGAAAGCUCUGAACAGAAAACGGGCUAAAGAUGUCUAUGAAUUUACAGAAUGUCCAAAUUGUUAUGGUAUGUACUUUUUGACUGAUACAUUUGCAUUAGUUAAUUAGUUAUAGAAGCAGGUAUUUGCCGCUUUCAAUUGUUUUUGUUGCCAUUCUGAAUACUCAUUUCUCUGAACGUUAUCUGAUAUUGGUUCUUUGACUAAUGACUUGGGACAUUUGGACAUUCUUUAACGUUCAAUAGUAGUGAACACAUUCCAUUCUUCUUUUCUUGGCAUUUUCUGCUGAGGUUAUCCCUCCAAAUGGAGUCAAUUGCAGCAUUUGAAAUCAUGGCCUCAUAUCAUAGUAGCUGAAAGUUUUAUCAUACAUGAAACUGGAUAGACACAUUCCCCAUCUUAAUUAUGGAGGUAAAAGGCUAUCACUGUGAGAGCGUGGCAGGUUGGAGUGGGCUUCACAUAGCAUAGCCUGUCCCUACAGAGAGUGGUGUAUUCUAAUUAUCUAACUGAACAUUGUUGCGUGGUAAAAGGCAUUGAUUUUAACCUCUAUUCGUUUUAAUACUGCUGUUCCAAAUUGUCAAAUCAGCUUUAUUCCUUUAAAAACAAAAAAAACAAAAAUUUCCCUCUCUCUGGUAAUGUGGAAUCCAAGUACUUCGAAUUGUGUUACUAAUUUCUUGUUAUGGGCAGGUCGAGGAAAACUUGUGUGUCCUGUUUGUUUAGGGACUGGUUUACCGAAUAACAAAGGUCUUCUUAGGAGGCCUGAUGCAAAACAGUUACUUGAUAAGAUGUAUAAUGGUCGGCUGCUACCAAAAUCUUGAAGUAAGUUCUCUUCCAAAUUAAUUCCCUGAUUAUUUGAUGAUGUUGUUGGUGUUACACACACAGCAUUUAUCUUUUAGCAGUGAUUCUGUAUUGUAUAUAUGGUAUUAUAUACAGUUAAUGAUGCUUGGACUGCAUUCAUAUCAUUUAAUAGGCCUCCCCUUGAAUUGCAUAAUUUUGAUGGAUGUGGUUUCCUUAUUUAUAAAUUUAAAAUUUGAAAUGCUGCAGUUAGAGGCUUUUUGA